GCAGUCGCCGCCAGCCAUGUGCUUGUGCUCUGGGGCCUGCUGGCUUCACUGCUGCCUCUCACCUUGGUCCCCAGCGGUGCUCCCUUUGCUCUCCUACCAGGAAACUCCAUUGUACAUGAGAUCCCAAACGCUUUAUAAAGUGCCUUCAAGCCUUAGCCUGCAUAUCAGCACUUUGUAAAGAACACAGGGAUGGAAACGCACGUGCCAAACUCUGAGCAGUGAGACUGAUGAGCAGUUCAAGGUUCAUCCUGAUUAAUUGCUUCUUUUCGCAGAAUGGUGGGCUGCUGUCUUUUGUUGGAGCAGCCUUUUAUUGCUCAGGAGCCCAGACACACCCUGUGAAAUCUUCCCGUGUUUUUGGGGUUGGUGGGCGGAUGUAGGUCUGCUGCAGAGACCUGCAAUGCAGAUGCUCAACAAUUAAGCUGUAAGUGGACUCCUACACACUUGUAAGGUACACAAGGCCCAUGCAGUGCCUGCCAAGUUCCCCAAGCAGUAACAGUUCAUGACACUCUUGAGAUAUCUGCCAGAUGCCGACACAGUGUUCUGAAGUUCCUAUUUCAGGACAUAAUUUUAAAAAUACUUCUAGCUCAGGAUUUAGAGUGCCAAAAAGCAUUUGUGUAUGAAUUGUAAUGUAAACCAUAAACCCAACAGGAAAUAUCAGAGCCUUCUCCUCUCGUAGAUAUGAUGCGACUUCGGAGUGUCAAGAAAAUGUUCCUUUAUUGGCAAGAAAACAAAUACAUUUUACUGUCCCAUACGUGCAAAAUGAAACAACCAAUUAACAUAUAUCUGGCAAAGAAGAAGUAUUUUUACCUUCCAGUAUUGCCCACACAUCCCAGAUUGUAUAUUGAUUGCAACAUUUAUGAGUAUUGCACAGGCGGCAGCUGGUGAAAACUGCUAAGCACUGAGUUUGGCUGACAAGGAGGCACUGCAGUUUUAGCAACUGAAUCAGCAAUUUGCUCAGCCUGAAUUUGCUCGUGUUUCUGGAGCUCAUGCUGGGAAUCCUCAGUGGCCUAGCAAAAGUUUGAACAUAGUUGCUUUCCUAUCAUCAGCUGGCUGGCGUAGUCGCUCUCAGAGUACAUAUUCUUAUCUUUUCAGUAUAUACCAAAGUUAAUUGCAGUGGAAAAGAAGACACUUGUCUGCUUUAUCUAAUAUAAGAUCUACCUUCUUAGGUCUAAGUUCAAUAAAAGGUAAGUGUGCAUGUGUAAAAGCAUUUUAAAAUACUUUGAACCUGACCUUAUUAUUUUCUAAGUUAAGAUUCAGAUGGGCACAAGGAAGUCCUAAGGUUAUUAAGAUGCUAACCCUCUUCUUCUCAGUGUAUUUUUACAGCGUAAGCACCAAGACAACGAUAACUGUGUGAUGUACAGAAUGCAACUCCCACCCCUGCAUCAAGCCAUCCUCAAAGUAUUUAUUUUCUUACCCCAAUCUCUAGACCAGAAAAAAAAAAGCACGUAUUUCUUGUUUCUGGGACGUCGUCCACUGGCUCUUAGUAACAGCUGAACAGAUUCAAAUAUCCCCUACCACCAUUCUGACACCCACCCACUGACACACCUACCGUGCUUCCUACUAAAUUCGUGAGGUUAGGUUGAAGAGCCUGCAUUCUCUCAAACAUGACUGAAGCUAGCUGACAGGAGAAGGGCUGACUAAUGGAUGGGCUUUGCAUCAGCCCUUGUUCCUCUGAGCCCUUGCACCAUUAAGUGAAAUUAAAGAGUUCAAGGAUUGGAGUUAUGAUACCUCCCUAAUUGUUUUGUUCAAAUGAAUCCAACACUUGUAAUAGUGUAUUACAUGUAUUUUUAAAUAUCUUAAAGCAGCAGCUUUACAACAAUACAUUGUGUAGCCGAAUACAAUGAAGCAUCUUACUGAAAUACCCAACUACUUUCUGUUCUCGGUCCUGCUGCACAAAAUCAGCAUUUUACACCAUGUUAUGAUAACAAAGAACUUCCAAACAGCCAUUACACUGCAUGAGUAUGUGGGAAACUGCUCAUCAGUCAUUUACAACAGAGGGAAUUUCGCAAUCCUGGAAGAAGGACUAGUAAGUAUAGUCAAAGUGUUCCUCUUUCAUUUUCUCUUUCACCAUUUCCAUACUAGCCCGGUGUGUAACCAGAUAGCUUUCUAAGACCUCUGUUAGCAAGCAGAGUUUGGUGUGCAGGCACCAAUCCUAAUAUUACGGGAGCUCAGAGGUCUUUGAGUGCAGAGCAAAUAGCUUUUAAGAGCAAUGCCAAUUGCUAAAAGGAUCAUAUUACAAUAAUAGAUUUGAAAGCUUAUACUCCAAACAGCAUUGCGAAUGAGAGCUGACAACAGAGAUGAAUUUUGUGAGCUGCUAGGAGCAGAGCAGGACUUGCUUAUUGCACUAAUGAACGUGGCUUGUGGGAAAGCUGACACCUCAUUGAAAUCAGGCCUCUCAAUCACCCAUGAUUACUGUGGGACUCAGAAGGGAUGCAGAAGCAGCUACACGAUGCUGGAUGAGAAGACACCGGAAGCUAUUCAAAUGAGAAGAGAUGGAUGGAUAAUUCUGACGUUCUCAGCCUCAGUCUGGAGAGGGAUCUGGAAGGAGCUGGGAGCCUGCUCAGCUGUUGCUUGACGGACUGCUUUUCAUCCAUUUUGAGAGGAAGCCUCAGAAGCUGAGCUCUCGGGCGGGAAUGGAGGACGAAGUGAGGUGCAAGGGAGCAUGUGGCCCAGAAGAGGCAUACAAAUCCUGCCUACACACUCUAUGCGAACAGCCGGAGCUGACUCACGGGCAGCACAGGAUGAGUAUGUUCUGCAGCAGAUGCCACUCUGUGCUGUAUCCCGUGGCUUUCGUAUUUUACAAACAUCCUGCUGCCUCUCAAAUGUCUGUAAGAAUGGUUUUGAAAAUGUAAGCCAAAGAUAAGCAAUGCAAAGGUGUCUGCUUGAGUCCACAGGCAGGCAGAGCAAGAUCUUCAAAGGUCUGAAUGUUUGCCAUUCAUCUUAAUGGCAUGUUAUUACUAAAGUCAUGCAGCAAUACACGGGUUAGGGUUGUUAACUAUUUCAUUGCAGGGUAAAACUUGAAAGGAAAUGUUAAAUUGAUGAAUAGCCUGUAGGUAUACUUUAGUCAUUCUCAAUGCCAUCUCGUUUUGGCCUUAAAUUGCAGUAACAUUUUUAUCUGAGCUUCGUACUUGCAUUAUAAAGAACUGUCUAGAAAUUAUUUCCAGACUGAAUUAGCUGGUAUUCCGACUGUGAUGCUGCUUACCUGACCGUCUAUCUUUACAUCACAAUUUGGCACUUCUGUGGCCAUCAGUUUAUAAGAUUCAAGCUUCUGAGGAGAGCAAGUGGGGCAAAUCUUACGUGAUAACAAAGAUCAGCAAGAGCUACACAAUUAAAUUAAGACAGAAAAGGUUGAUGUGUUGUGUCUUGGCAAUUCUGCAAGUUUUGAGACAGAUGCUGUCAUCUAUUUAACUGAGGGAAGCAAAUGUCCCUUCUCCAACUAAAUGUAAAGUGGAGGGGGACUCCGAGUCAAGUAGAAAUUUACAGUAGAUCUACCAAAUUAUUUUUCCUAAGUGGGGCACUGCUGGGACUGCAAAAGAGCUUUUAAAGUCAAACUCAUUUUAUUAUAACAGAAACUGGAUCCUGUAGCUUUUUUAACAGAUAAAAUUUUGCAGCAUUUGGAAACAGAAUUCCUUCUCACCCACUGUGUCCUGGCAGAAAGGGUCCCUUUUUCGGGCUUCCUCCCAGUUCAGCAGCUCGGGAACUUUCUGUAUUGCACCAAAGCCUCCUCUGAGAAAGAUCCCUGAGACUCUAGGAAAUAUCUUUUGUCCCAUCACUGAGGCCUGGCUGUGUGUCUGCUCUUCUCAGCAGUUUGCCUGUCUCUGCCUGUGAUGCGGGCUCUGUGCCUGCUGAGUUCUCCUCAUAUCCUCACAGGAGUACUCCCACAUUUGACUCAGCAAUUAAUUAUUUUAAUUUUAUUGCUGUUUAACUGAAUUCAUAUACUAUACACUAUCUAAAAAAAUCGUGUGGAAAAUGAGAGAGGCUGAUUAGAGAGGAACUAUCUGCAGGGUGAGAGGAGAGGAAGCUGAAGGCUAUGAACUGUCAGAUGAAGGGAAUUUUAAGACUAGCUUGGCACUGAGUGUCUGUGGUGAAAGAAUAUCACGAAGAGCAGUCUCCAGCCAAGUCUUUGGGGGCUGGUUUCUUUGUUCUUCUUUGCUUUAGUGCUUAAUCCCAUAAAAACUGUACGUGGCAUUACUGAAAGAAAUGACCCAUGAAGAAGAUUGGUAUGGCUGUCAGAAACAGACAAAACAAUGAAGAUCUUUGGAAAGAGCUAUAGGAGAUCGGGUAGGAAGAGCUACGAGAAGUACAGAAAUAUCAAGCAUUGGCAGAAAGAGAAACAUGAAUGAAAAGAGAGAAACUGUACACGAUAAGGUGUUGCUUUGUAGUAAUGUUGGAAAUACAGUAAUAUAUUCCAACCUCUGCACAGAGUCUUCAAGAAAGGUAAGUCACACACAGGAAGGAAAUUAUCAGCUAUAUAUGCCUCAACAUGAGAAUUUAACUCUUCUCACAGGCACCUUUUCCUUUUAAUGAACAAAAUACAGAUUUACUCUAAACAUAACAGUUUUGAACGAGUAUGUCUAAAGCCUCAUUUGUUUGCUGGGCAUAUCCCUUCCUACAGAAGAAUGUGCAAAAAGUAUUUUCAUAUUUAACUUGGACAAUAUUCUAAUUAAAAUAUAUAUGUAUAUAUUACUCUUAGCUAGAGGGAUGAAACUACACAAAUAGCUUUCAUUUCUUUUGCUUUUGACAGGACUGCCUGCCUAGCAAAUUGAGUGGAUACUUCGGUCAGUGCACCUUGAGCUCCAGGAGGCUGUGCAAAGCAGAGCCCCAGCCAGUCCCCUGGUAACAGCAGGCCUCAGGCCGUGCAGCUGCCGGAGUAGAUGCCACACCAACAGGGCUCUCAUCACGGCAGGGAAACCAGGCUGCUGGCAGUGUGUGACAGGGGGAUGCUCUGGACACAAAGGUGCAACGCAGUGCCCUGCCUGCUGGGUUGGAAUCCCAGGCAGACAAGUGUCACGCUGCAGGUAUGCACGUAGGGUGCUCUGAGAGCCGCUCCUUAAUGAGCUGGUAGCAUGCCAGCCUUUGAUUGGCAUGAGGCAACCACAUGGGUUUUAAUCUCUUCCUCUGCAUGCAUAGUGACUAUUAAUGAGAGGAUUACUGUGAAGUGGCCUGAAACUGAAUGGCAUGUGUAGAAUCUCACGGCUACAUAAGUCACAGGCAAGCUUGGAUAGCACAAGAAAGGUGCAGCCUUCUUCACGUUUUCCAAAAAGAAUUGGGAAGAUCAAAUACUCGGUGUCAAACUCUUGCAUGGAGGUACCCAAACUCAUAACGAACAUCAGCUCUAAAAGUUCUGUUGUCACUGCCAGUAUGUGAAUACCUCGCAUGGGUGUCACCUUGUUCCUCUAGCACCGAAAGUCGAGCGGUGGGAGAGGUGAUCCCAUCAGCUGAGGCAGCUGACAAGCCAGUAACUUCUGCAGAUCAGAUUGUAAAAAAUGUUGUAAACAAGCACGUGCCUGGAUUUACCCUGUAGGACGGUAUAAUACCCGGCUAUGGAACUGCAGGGUCGCUGCUUGCCAAAAUAAGACUGAAUAAGCUGAUGUUUUGCAGGUACUCCAGGCUCACCCUCGUCUCCUGAGCACAUUCUGCAGCACUUCAUAGUUAAGGUUACACAGACACGCUCAGCAAAACAGGAUCCUUUCCACCGGGGUGAGGGGAGCAGAGAGAUGGCUGCUAGCUGCCAGCCUAGAGUGGAAAGUGAGUCAUGGUCAUGAAAUAGGUCAUUUCCACUCCAUGUGAACGCUCUCGCAUAGUAUUCAGGUUAGUUUCUGUAACAAGGAACAGUCUGGGCUCAGGUUUACUUCUGGGCUUGCCGCUUCUGCUGCAGAUAAGCAGGAAAAAAUAAGCUGUAUAAAAAUGGGUGUUUUCAGCUGAUGAACGUAUGACUGUGGAUUCUGGCAAAAUUAUUCUAACUUCCACUGAUUGAACAUGUGGUUUAGUUUUGUUUCAUGCAUCCAGGCAGCUUCUUUAAAAAAGAAGAAGAAAAAAAUCUCAGUAGCAGCUGCAUUGGCUUCCGCUAAUAUUUGCUUCCCUAACUGAAAACCUGAGCAGUCCAGCAAAAGAUGAAACCCUUUCUUUAUUCUUAUUUCAAAUCAUGUCUUCGAAAUGCGAGUUUCUGCUGGCAGAUAGAACACGAGCUUAUCUACAGCGAGCGGGAGGCUGUGCUGUGAGCCCUACUUUGGGGAAGCCUCUUUGACCCCAAGCAGGAUAUUCUACAACAUCUGAAGAUUGAGUGAUGAUAGCAAUAUUUUUUCCAGGACGUUUCUCGGAGAAGAGGGAGGGGUGUGGUUAUCGUUGUCAUUUCACCGUAGCAGAUAGAACGCUGUCUGGAGACACCGCCCUUGCUGGAAAAUUGAUUAAGGUCUGGAUUUGGAAGCAAAAGACCACCUCUGCUGCUUUGCUAACUGAUAAGAAGAAGUUGGUCUGUGUCUGCGGGAGGGACUUUCCCCAAAACUCUGCACCUGUGGAUACCAGCCAUCAGACACCGCCACUUCACAUGCACCUCCAGCUCUGAGGGUCCGCCAAAGUCAUCCUAGCUUGCAAGAUCCUAUCCUAUAUAAAGGACAAGAAAUAGGUGUGAGACAGGAGGCAGGAAAUGUGUCAUUUCACUAUAACUGUGCAGAAAAUGGUCAGAUGCUGUGGAUAGUCACUGGGGAAGCUGAGGGAGCCAUGCCCCUGAGCAUCCAUUCCAGCACAGCUCUAAAGGAGUCUAUGGCUGAGUUGCUUGGGAGGCAACACACCUAGCACAGAGAUACACACUUCUGCCAAGGAAGUCCUUCAGUCUUAGGAACUCCUAAAGAUCCACCUGACUUGAACAUCUUUUGCUUUUGUGGUGGAACUCAGCUGCAGAUCAUGGCAGGGAUCUUCACCAGCUUGACACAUUCACCAAAAGAAGAACAAUCUGAGCUAAUAAAAGAAGGAAAUGAAUUAGGAAGCAAUUUGUUGAACUGGAUUUUAUUCUUUACUAAAACUUAAAUCUUGUUUGAUCGGACUUUUGUUUUUAUUGCCUUGUUCUCAGCCUUUUUGCUGUGAUUUUAACAUUUCCUUUUUGGCUUUUGUAGCCUUCAUCCUGAUGUACAGAAUUCAGAAUAAAGGUGAAUUUAGUUAUCCCAUGGGGACAUACGAAGGAAAGACAAAUCAAACUGAACGAGAGCCUUGGUAGAAAACGCAGCGUAUCUAACAAUGCAUAAUUGGCAACAGAAAACGUGUCAGAUGGGAUUUGUUUGGAGAAGAACUUCCAAAGAAGGCUGAGAGCCAAGCUGAAGUAGUCACCUAAAGUUACUUUAAGAUUUAUGUGCUGAUGAUAGACUGUGGGGCAAAGCAUUCACACGGGGAAGGCCAUGCUCACUAGUUCACUUGGUCAAUUCUCAAUAAAGAAUUACCAGCCCUGAGUGAUAUUGCUUGGAACAGGUAUCUACCAUUAAAAUUUUAAAAACACGGAAUAAAAUGCAGAUCAUCGUGAUGUAGAUCUUACAGCUCCAGGAUGAUGCUAAAACUACACUCUAUUUGGCUAUGGUAACACGUCCAAUUCUCAUCUGCUUCAGACAGAAAAUGUUUAUAGAAAAAUAACUGAGCAAGGUUAAUCAGAACGUACUCAAACUUUUCUGUCUUAUCAACAAAAUCUUUGUAAAGGUAUUCAAACAGUGGGUUGCUUUCCAGAGAGAAUAAACAGCAAGGUAUCAAUAGCAGAGCUUGUAAUACACUAUGACCUGAUAGCAGCCUUUCAAUAUCUAAAAGGGAGCUACAGGAAAGAAGAGACAGACUCUCUAGCAGGGUGUGUGGUGGUAUAACAAGGGCAAAUGGUUUCAAGCUUAAAGAGGGUAGAUUUAGGCUGGAUACAAGGAAAAACUCUUUUACUGUGGGGGUGGUGAGGCACUGGAACAGGUUGCCCAGUGCUGUGGUUGAUGCUCCAGAAAGACUGUCAAGAAGAGGCUGGAUCAGGCUCUGAGCAACCUGAUCUAGCUGUGGUGUCCCUGUUCAUUGCAGGGGAGUUGGACUAGAUGGCCUUUAAAGGUCUCUUCCAACUCUGAGGAUUCUAUGACUCUAUGCAGGCUAUGCAGUCUAAGCUGCUACAAAAUAAAGAAAUAGCUGCUCAUUUGGGGAUGUCAGUGAGAGAUCAGCAUAGCGUUGUUGGCAGGCGGGGAAUGCGUUGUUCAAACAGAGAGAGAAAUAAUAAGUCAAGAUACGUGCAAUGUUUCAUCUUUUCUAUUCCCUGUACUCAGGAUUAACGCUUUCAUGUACGGAAUAUGCUAGAAGAUGGGGAUAAGGUGGCAGAUGAAAUUCAUUAAUGAGAGACACAAGCCAGGGGACAGAUAGAACAUGAUAAAUUGGUCUCCUUGUGCAGAACACUGAUUACUAAACCAUGAUGACUGCUCCGAAAGUAAUGCAUCCUGUUUUAUUAUAUUGGCCCAUUAUAUCAGAGGCAAAUGUUGGUAGUAUGGCAGUAGAUGCUGAA